rnacentral:rRNA from 1 species
GUGUCAGCAGCCGCGGUAAGACAGAGGGGGCAAGCGUUGCUCGGAAUCACUGGGCGUAAAGGGCGCGUAGGCGGGAUGGCAAGUCGGUCGUGAAAUCCUUCGGCUCAACCGAAGAACGUCGGCCGAUACUGCCGUUCUUGAGGGAUGCAGAGGAGAUUGGAAUUCCCGGUGUAGCGGUGAAAUGUGUAGAGAUCGGGAGGAACACCGGUGGCGAAGGCGGGUCUCUGGGCAUCUCCUGACGCUGAGGCGCGAAAGCGUGGGGAGCAAACGGGAUUAGAAACCCCCGUAGUCC